AUAAAGAUAAUGAAAAAGAGGAGUACGCAAUUACUGUCGUCAGAGAGAAUCAUCCAAAGGCUGUGAGAUGAUUUCGAAAAAGGGUUGUGGAAGGUAGCUUUGGAAUUGGAUAUUUGAAAUUAAGUAGGAUAUCUCGUGGUUGUUUACGUUAUAGAACAAAGAGGUAUACAGAAGAGUUGUCUGUAUAUGAACUUAAGGUGGUACCGCGAUGAUUCGCCCUUUAU
rnacentral:ncRNA from 1 species